rnacentral:rRNA from 1 species
AUACGGAGGGUGCAAGCGUUACUCGGAAUCACUGGGCGUAAAGCGCGCGCAGGCGGCUAUUUAAGUUGGAUGUGAAAGCCUAUGGCUCAACCAUAGAACUGCAUCCAAAACUAUUUAGCUAGAGUGUGGGAGAGGAAGAUGGAAUUAGUUGUGUAGGGGUAAAAUCCGUAGAGAUAACUAGGAAUACCAAAAGCGAAGGCAAUCUUCUGGAACACUACUGACGCCGAGGCGCGAAAGCGUGGGGAGCAAACAGGAUUAGAUACCCUAGUAGUCC